UUUAGAAUUGGACGAAUAUUGAUCAUCAUGAGCCGUGCGUGUGGUAUUAUUUUGUUCCUUCUUUGUACACAAUACUUAAUUGGUACACUGCAAGCUAGACCCCAGUCGGAUUCUAAUGAAGGCGAAUGUGGAGUUAACUAUGAUGAUUGUGUGGCAGAUGACCAGUGCUGUGGAACUGCUACGUGUGACAUGAACUUCUAUAAAUGUCAAGAGCAAGGACUUUAGCUUAGUUUAAAAUUAAUGACCGUUUCAAUAGUAAGUAUCAUUUAAUGAUGACGAAUAUGUUGUAUACCUAAUAAAAAUAUUUAAGUAAAUCAA